CAGGACGAUUGAAACACGUCAUGGAGAAAACAGAACUGAAUGGAUUGUCCUGCUGCCUUUUUGACCAAAUGUGAUGCUGAACGUACAGGAGGUAGACACUAACAUCUCGUUGAUUAUUACUCAGAGCUUGAUGAUGGAGAGUGCUGAUUCUAGAACCAGACUGCCUGAUUGGGAAUUCUGGUUCUGCCAGGUGCUAGCCAUGUGACUUGAACAGUUACUCACAGUCUUCCUUCGUAUUCCUAUCUGAAAAAUGGGAAUAACAGUCGCACUUACCACACAGAGUCGUGAAGACUACAUCAAUAAUCGUAUAGCGCUUAGAACAGCGCCUCCAUAUGGUGGAGAAGUCUGUAUUGUUAGUCCAUACAUACAGAAGGCUUAAAAAUUAAGAGCAUUUUUACAAAACUGGAGCUGGAGCAAUCUGACAAAUAAAACAGCAAGUGAACGAAAGUGAAUGCUCCAAGGACGAUCUUCAUCUAUUGAAAGAGGAAUGUCAAUCCAUUAUCCAUUUCCACUAGGAAUUGUAUUCAAGCUUUAUGAAUGUUUGAAAACAGUAACUCAGUUGUUUUCUAGUUUCAAGUUAAUGUUAAUAUUUAGUAAGACUUCAAGAAGACUAUAUGUCAAAGAUAUCUCAAAAAAGUUAUUAAAAAGAACAAAAGUUGUUCAAGAACAAAAACAUAACCCAUUAGAAGCCUAUGAGUAUAUUAUGUACUAUAUGCGAACAUAUUAGAAACUUUAACGAGAAGAACUAACGUGUUCCAUUUGUGAAAGCUUAGAAUUGACUCCAAUAAAAAAGAAUAAAAAGUCA
rnacentral:lncRNA from 1 species